UCCUAAGUUAUGGAAACCCCUAGAGGGAGGUAAUCCUAGGUCUUAGGGGGUGGUAACCUUAGGCCUAGGUGGUGGUAACCCUAGGUUUUAGGGGGUGGUAACCCUAGGUAGAAAGUCUUAAUGGGUCGAGAACUUUGGUUGAAAUCCUAGAGUUGGAGACUCUAGGUGAAAGUCCUGGUGGUCACGGACCAAGUGAAAGUCUAGAUAGGUCGUGGAGCAGACGUCCAGCAUGAAGACCUGAAGUCUUGGACGCAGAGCAAAAGUCCAGCCGGUCUGGAGGACCGGUCUGGCAAAAGGUAAACUCUCCUGAGAGGAGUAGGUGAGGACGCGCUCCUCGAAGUGGGAACAGUAGGUGUCAGUUCGACCUAGGAUUUCUGGUGAAAUUCAAAAGUCGGAACCGAACAGUUCGAAGGUUGCCAAAUGUCAUAUAUUGCUUUUCUAUUAUUUGCUAUUUGUCUAACUCUGUUUUGCAGGGAAACUAAUAAUUGUGCAAGGUUUGUUUCGGCCUUGAUCGGUUGACCGAACAGGGAAUCGGUCAACCGAACCUCCAAGCAAACAGAUUGAAUUUCCAGCGAGUUGAUCGUGUUCGAUCAAGGGAUCAGUCAACCGAACCUGAGAUUCGAUCAACCAAACAAGUGGAUAGGCGUCGACGUGGUUGAGUUGAGUUGAUUGGACCAGAUAAGUUGGGGAUCAGUUGACCGAACGGUGGGAUCGGUCGACCGAACGAAGACUUCUAUCUGAGUAGCAGAACCUAGAUGAGAAGUCGGGCAGGAUCGGUCAACCGAUCCGGGUGAUCAGUCGACCGAUCAGAGUCGGGUCAAACCUAAUCCUGAGAUCAGUGGAUCUGGAUCAGGUCUGAGGUGGCUAUAAAAAGAGGUCUCGGCCAGCACUUCAAGACAACCGAAUUCAGAACUACUUACGCUCCUGUGUGCUACUCCAAAGCGCUUCGACAACAUGCAAUUGUUGCUCCAAUAAUCGACGAACCUUUAGUUCCUCUUUUAUUGUUGGUAACACAGUUUCUUUUCAUUGUUUUUAAUACGUAUACUUGCAUAUCUGUAAAGCCUUUACGAAUUUAUAGUGGAUUGCUCAACGUAAGCGAUAAACGAUCACGAGCCUUGGAGUGGGAGUCGUCACAGACUCCGAACUAAGUAAAACCAAAGGUGUCAACUUGAUGUUUGUUUUACUUGUUCUUUAUUCCGUUGCGUUUACUGAAACAAGUGAAAAAGUCACGAGUACUAUUCACCCUCCCUCCCUCUAGCACAUCAUCGAUCGCACAAGAAGGUCCACCACCUCCUGGAGAUUUUGGUUGCCUUCCUACACCACCACCUACCCUUGGAUGUUUUGAGCAAGUCCCACCACAACCACCACCCUUUAGAGGAUUCCCUAGAGGCCUUCCUACCCCUUUACCACCACCCUUGUAAGAGCAUCCACAAUCGUUGGAGCUCUUAGAGAGCUCCUUCGUUAUCACAUCCGUGCUCCGUCAAAAGUAAAAAAAUCUCACAUAUCUCUCCAUUAUUAAAAAAACCUCUCAACAACUCCUUCAUGGGUUCCACACUUUUCAUUAUAUAUAUUUCUCAUAUCUCCUUUAUAUUUUACAUUAUAUAUAAUUAAUUUUUUUUAUAAAAUUUAAAUUCAUAAAUUGCUAACAUGAAAUAAUAUUAAUAAUUAAACAAUUACAUAAAUAUUAUAGUACAUCAAAUAAAAAGGCAAAUUAUAAUAAUAUAUAAAAUAAAUUUAAAUACAUCUACACCAAGUCAUCUCUGUUUAAUUUUUCCAAUGAUUUUUUCAUGUAUAUGAAGUUGUCCGGUGUCAUCUCACUAGUAUCCUUCAUAAAAAUUUCAUAAUCCUUAUGAAAGAUCUCGACUUUCCGCAAAGUCAUGUUUUGCAUGUGAUAUUCUUUAAUAUCUUGUCAUUCUUUGUCGAUUCUUUGUUCCAUUGUGUCGCCCUCUUUGAUUUUGGAUUUACCCUUCCUUUUUACUGUCUUUUGCCCUAUUGGACGAAUGCGGACUUUAGAGUCAUCGACACCAACACUUGUAUUUUGAUUUGAUGUUGAAGUAUUCCCCUUGAUUCGGAUGUCCUUGCCUUCUUGCUAGAGUAAUGAGCAAUUAAUAGUGGAGCAUAUUUCUUAUACUCUCUGAGAACCCUCCACACAUGCAUAUACUUGAAGUCUUUGUUAUUGUUGUUGGCUUUCCACAUUGUGUUCUCCAACAGAUUCUCAUCACUCUAACCGUUUUGACGAACAGUAUAAAAAUUAUUAUAGAUUGUCGAAAAUUCAUUUACUAUCGGUGUAAACCUAUAUAGUAAUAUGAUUUUAGCUGUUGAUAGAUUCUCAUCAUAGAUCUAGUGGGUUGAUGCUUAUUGUAGUAAUCAGCUAUAUGUUUCCAAAAAGCUUGAUCUUUCUAGUCAUUACCAUUGAUUGCAUUUAUUUUGAUAGUUGUCCAUGACUUCGCAAGGACUACGUCUUCAUCGAGAGACCAAAAUCUUCAUUUCGAAUCAUUUUUCUUCGGUUCAACUUCACACUCUUCUUGUGAUAAGUGUAGUGGCCACUAAAUUGCUGGAACAGAUAAUGACGUUAGAAAUUUUUUGUCGUUGAUAGAUGGAUCAAUAGUAGCCUUUCUUGAUUCAUUUGAAAGCAUGACCGAUGGUUGAGUAGGAGAAAAUACGUAAGGAGAAUGCAUCCCAAAUUGGCUACCCAUGGCUGACCAAGCUUGGGGUAGAUACAUACCAAAUGGAGCUGGGACGACGUUAUUUAGAUUCGUUAAAACUUUUUUUGAGAACUUUGGAAAUUUAGAGGAUAUUGUAGAACAUAUAAAAUAUUUUAAAAAUUUAGGUAUUGUGUGUGAGAGAGAAAAAAAAUGAGGAUAUUGUAUAUUUGGAGAAAUAUGACUAUUUUGAAAAGAUGUAUUUUCCUCCAUAUUUGAAGAAUCAAAAUAUUUGUAAUAGAAAUAUUAAAAUUUUCAUCUAUUUUAAAUACAAAUAGAGACCGGAAGGAAUAAACAAGAAGUAGAGAGGGAAAAGAAUGAUAAAAUAAACUAAAAAAAUGAGAUUGAAGAUGUAUUUAUAAUUUUUUUUAAAUUAAAAAAUUAAAUUUUAAUUGUUGAACCACGACUAAAAAUUAAUCGUUGUUCAAUGGCUAAUUUGUUAGUCGUUGUUCAACAUAAUGAUGUUUUCCCCCUUUUUUACAAAUAUUAAAAAAGAAAUUAUUUGAAUAUUAUUAUUUUUUUAUAGAAGAAGCGGCUCCAUAAACAAAGAGCAGCUUCAUAAAAAAAAAAAAAAAAUUGAAGGAGCCCCCUCCCACUAUGGGAAGGAGCUGCCUCCAUAUUACCAUGCCAUAAAGAAACUACCAUUGUGGAUGUUUUAAGUUUUAAGAGUAUCUAUAUCAAUUAUACUAUUCAAAGAUUUUACUUUAAAUUUUAGAUAGAAUAAUUAAAAAAAAUUUGCAUGAGCUAUCUUAACUAUUACCUAAAUUUUACAUUUAUAAAUAGUAUUUUCUAAAUUUAGGGAAUAUAAUGAAUUAUAUGCCCUAAAUAUUAUAAAGGAGAGAGAAAAAAUAAAAAGGUAUAGUGAAAAAUGAAUAUCUAAAUUUAAUAAAAUAAAUUUUUUAUCCUAAAUUAUAUAUUUUAGAUAAAAAAAAUUGAUAUGGAUACUCCUAAGACUCUCUCGCUCUACCACCACUCCCUAUAGAUUUUGGAGCCUCUCUUGUUACCCUCGUUUUAGAAAGUCCUUUCGGGACGGUCUAGUGGUUAGCACAUAAGGUGUUGUCACAAUAAAGUCUGGAGUUCGAAUCUCAACGAAGUCGAGAUAAAUAUAUCCCUUAUAUAUUAAUCAUUAUUACAAAAAUUAAUAAUCGUUCGUAUUAACUUUAAAAAACAUUAAGAAAGAAAGUAUUCGUCUUUUAUCAUCGUAAAAGCUCUUCUAUUACCCCACCACCUCCUGCAAAGUUUGGUGGCCCUCCUGCCCCACCACCAUCUUAUACAGGUUUUGGAGGCCUACCUACCCCACCACCACGUGAGCUUUAGAGAAGCUCCUACCCCACCACCACCCCUUAUAAAUUAGAGAUUCUACUGCUAUACCUGGAGCAUUUGGAGGAGUACCACCUCCUCCUCCAGCACUUGGAGGGUUUGGAGGAGUAUCACCUCCUCCCCCUCCGCUUGGAGGAGUCCCACCUCCAUCAUCACUUGGAGGGUUUGGAGGAGUCCCACCUCCUCCUCCACCCAUUUGAGUUUUUUGAGGAGCUCCUACUCCGCCAGCUCCUGGUGGUUUUGGGCGGGCUUCAUCUCCACCACCUAUCCUUGGAGGUGAUCCUCCACCUCCACCAAAUUCCCUUGGUGCUCCGCCACCUCCUCCAGGGUCACAACCUGCAUGAGAGGCUCCAUCUCAAAUCCCUUGGUAGGAGGAAGGGGACGUCCUACAGCAGCACCAGGUGCAACAAUUCGGAAGUCACCAUUUAAGCCAUUGCAUUGGGUGAAAGUAACUAGAGCAACGCAAGGCAGCUUGUGGUCUGAAUUACAAAAGGAUGCUGAUGCUCAAAGCACUUUUGACUUUGAUGUAUCCGAACUUGAAAUGCUCCUCUGCUGCGGUUCCAAGGUCAAGUGGGUCAAAAUCUGAGAAAAACAAAGCUUCUGCCAAGAGUGACAAAGUUCACAUGAUCGAACUAAGGCGAGCCCAUAAUACUGAAAUCAUGCUGACUAAAUUCAAGAUGCCAUUAGAUAUGAUGAAUGGUGUUCUAGAAUUGGAUGAAUCACUUCUUGAUGGCAAUUGGAGCUUCUUAAGUUCUUUUUAGAGUUGAUGAAAGUGCCACAAGUUGAAUCAAAAUUGAGAGUAUUUGCAUUCAAGAUUCAGUUCAAUGCACAGAAGACAGAUAUAAAGAAGAGUUUGCACAGUGUAAUUCUGCUUGCGACGAGCUAAAGGAUAUCAUGAAGAAAAUUUUAUCUCUCGGAAACACUCUAAAUCAAGGAACUGCUACAGGAUGUGCAGUUGGUUUUCGUUUGGAUAGCCUUCUAAAGCUUACAGAUACCCGUGCAACCAAUAUUAGGAUUACCUUUAUGCAUUACCUAUGGAAGGUGUGAUCUUGUGUUUUGUUAAUAAGGAUGAGGAAUCAAUAUAAAAGGGCAGCCCGGUGCAUGAAGCUUCUGCUAUGCGGGAUCUCGGGGAAGGAUCCAUUGUACGCAGCCUUACCCUACUUUGGCUGUUUCCAGGAUGAGGAAUCAAUAUACUGUCCAAAAUUUGUAAUUACUAGGUUUCACAUUGGAUUUUAAAGUUACAUUCUAUGCCUCGUUAUUGAGUUCAGGUCCUUGCUGAGAAGUCUACACGACUUAUGGAUUUCCAUGAGGAUCUUGUCAGUUUGGAAGCUGCGUCAAAGAUUUUGAAAUCAUGAAUACAAGUAUUUUGCACUCUUGAAGCUAGCAGUUCCCAUGAUGCUGAUUUGCUACUUGUGUUUGUAGAUACCAUUGAAAUCGGUGGCUAAAGAACAGCAACAGAUCCUUAAAGGGUUAGAAAUGGAAUUAAUAGCUUCGAAACAUGAUGGCCCAGUAUCAGAAACUUUUUGCAAGGCUUUGAAGGAGUUCACUGUGGUUGCUGCAGAACAAUCUCGUAUCCUUGACAGCACUAUACACCGCAGUUGUAUGCCUCUGAAACGUGGACUAUAUGUUCAUUGGUAAAAAUACGGAUUCGCUGGCCUUAUAUUUUGGUGAGGACCCUAUGAGCUGCCCAUUCGAACAAGUCGUCUCUACUCUUCUUAAUUUUGUACGGUUGUUUCGGAGGGCACACGAGAUGGACUGCAAGCAGGCUGAGCUCGAGAAGAAGAAAGCUCCGAAAGAAGCCGAGGAGAAGUCAAAAGAGAGAUGCAUAUACAUGAUUUUGGCCAGCAAGCAAUCUGAGAAUUUGGCACAGCAGAUGCCCAGAAGACUGCAGACUGGACUUCGCCUUUCCUACACAAACAUAAUGUACACUGUUUUCAGUUCACCUUUCUUAAGAGAGGCAGUAUUUUGGCAGUAUUUUGGAAUCCAGAGAGGGGUGAUUCAAACCACCCUUUGGUUCA